UCCCUGGUGGCUCAGACAGUAAAGUGUCUGCCUGCAAUGCAGGAGACCCAGGUUUGAUUCCUGGGUCGGGAA
rnacentral:tRNA from 1 species